CAGGUGGAGCUCACGCUAUAGCAUUAAACUUUUCUAGAAGAAUAAGCAGAAAACUGUGUUUUAGACCACAAAUGAUUACUUUUGUUAGGUCCUGCUCUCCUGUGCUGCACCUUUUCAACAUGCUCCAUCAUUCUGCUCACCUGGCAGGUGAUGCAAAUGAUCCUAAUUACCACCUGGCAGGUACUUAGGAAAGAGGAGGCCUCGCCAGGAGCAGAGCAGAAGCAUUUGGGUUUUACUUUGAGUUUUGAAGACCCGAGCCCGGUUUACCUAUAGAGGAAGUAGAGGCGACUUUCCUGUUGAAGCCUCCUGAGGAGCAGAAAUAUUCAGAGAGAGAAAGAUGACUUUCAGAUCAAUUAAUAAAGAAGUGUGUAAAUAAAACAAAUAGUAGCGGUCAACAAAAAUAAACAGCCCAAGCUCUCCUCUCCUCCUCCUUCCAGAGAACAGGUGAGCUGAUGCUUAUUUCUCAGGUGUGACUAAUCAACAUAUCAAACAAGGUGACAGGGUGACAACUACAAACUUAGAGAUGUGGGAAGAAUCUUCAUUUUGGCUCCUAUAUCAACUUAAAACAUGUCCCUAAAAGAGUUUGAAAAUGCAUGCCUGUUAGACUAUGAAGCUGAUCAUUUAAUCAGCAUAGAAUGUUUACAUCGAAUUAGCAUUAGCAUUAGCCUUCCUGUGGGAAAAUCCAUUAAACGUUAACAUCAAGUCGGGGGACUUUUGCUUUAUGUGCUAGAUCGAUCUCUAUUUUAAUGAAUUAAUUAUUAAUCUAUUAAGCUUAAGUCCAUUUAAAUCAAUCAAUGUUAUCAACUCAGCCUUACUUAUCAUAUAUAUGGAUAUAGUUUACUUUGUAAGGCUUGAUAAUAGCAUGAUAUAGAGCCUUUAGCAUCGCGUUUUGAUUUUUUAAAUGUUUGUUUUCCAUAA